CAAGAAGCUGUUACACUGAAGAAUCGCUUUAUUAAAGGGAUUAAUUCGAUUUACACAUGAUUUUACACAUGGCACGUUCACCACAAGUGAAGACAGAGGUACGUGCCAAACAUGGGUGCCAGCGGCAGCCUUCCUAUUCUCUGAGCAUGUGUG